GACGAACGCUGGCGGGCGUGCCUAACACAUGCAAGUCGAACGGAGAUACGAUUUCGGUUGUAUCUUAGUGGCGAACGGGUGAGUAACGCGUGAGCAACCUGACUCUUAGAGGGGGAUAACACCUGGAAACAAGUGCUAAUACCGCAUGACAGGGUUCCGGGCAUCCGGGACCCUUGAAAGGAGAAAUCCGGUCAGGGAUGGGCCCGCGUCCAAUUAGCUAGUUGGCGGGGUAACGGCCCACCAAGGCAACGAUCAGUAGCCGGCCUGAGAGGGUGGACGGCCACACUGGGACUGAGACACGGCCCAGACUCCUACGGGAGGCAGCAGUGGGGAAUAUUGCGCAAUGGGGGAAACCCUGACGCAGCGACGCCGCGUGAGCGAAGAAGGCCUUAGGGUCGUAAAGCUCUGUUGUAAGGGACGAAUGUUUAUCUGGCGAACAGUCAGAUAAAGUGACGGUACCUUACCAGCAAGCCCCGGCUAACUACGUG
rnacentral:rRNA from 1 species